GACGAACGCUGGCGGCGUGCUUAACACAUGCAAGUCGAGCGGUAAGGCCCUUUCGGGGGUACACGAGCGGCGAACGGGUGAGUAACACGUGGGUGACCCGCCCUCAGCUCUGGGAUAAGCCUGGGAAACUGGGUCUAAUACCGGAUAUGACUUCGCAUCGCAUGGUGUGGGGUGGAAAGUUUUUCGGCUGGGGAUGGGCCCGCGGCCUAUCAGCUUGUUGGUGGGGUGAUGGCCUACCAAGGCGACGACGGGUAGCCGGCCUGAGAGGGCGACCGGCCACACUGGGACUGAGACACGGCCCAGACUCCUACGGGAGGCAGCAGUGGGGAAUAUUGCGCAAUGGGCGGAAGCCUGACGCAGCGACGCCGCGUGGGGGAUGACGGCCU
rnacentral:rRNA from 1 species